AUUGAACGCUGGCGGCAUGCCUUACACAUGCAAGUCGAACGGCAGCACGGGAGCAAUCCUGGUGGCGAGUGGCGAACGGGUGAGUAAUAUAUCGGAACGUGCCCAGUCGUGGGGGAUAACGCAGCGAAAGCUGUGCUAAUACCGCAUACGAUCUAUGGAUGAAAGCGGGGGACUCGCAAGGGCCUCGCGCGAUUGGAGCGGCCGAUAUCAGAUUAGGUAGUUGGUGGGGUAAAGGCUCACCAAGCCGACGAUCUGUAGCUGGUCUGAGAGGACGACCAGCCACACUGGAACUGGGACACGGUCCAGACUCCUACGGGAGGCAGCAGUGGGGAAUUUUGGACAAUGGGCGCAAGCCUGAUCCAGCAAUGCCGCGUGCAGGAUGAAGGCCUUCGGGUUGUAAACUGCUUUUGUACGGAACGAAAAGGCUCUGGUUAAUACCUGGGGCUCAUGACGGUACCGUAAGAAUAAGCACCGGCUAACUACGUGCCAGCCGCCGCAGUAAGAC
rnacentral:rRNA from 1 species